rnacentral:rRNA from 1 species
AUCGAACGCUGGCGGCAGGCCUAACACAUGCAAGUCGAACGAGUGGCGGACGGGUGAGUAAUGUCUGGGAAACUGCCUGAUGGAGGGGGAUAACUACUGGAAACGGUAGAUAAUACCGCAAAACAUCAGAUGGGCCCAGAUGGGAUUAGCUUGUUGGGGGGGUAACGGCUCACCAAGGCGACGAUCCCUAGCUGGUCUGAGAGGAUGACCGUCCCCACUGGAACUGAGACACGGUCCAGACUCCUACGGGAGGCAGCAGUGGGGAAUAUUGCACAAUGGGCGCAAGCCUGAUCGAGCCAUGCCGCGUGGAUGAAGAAGGCCUUCGGGUUGUAAAGUACUUUCUGCGGGGAGGCGUUACCCGCAGAAGAAGCACCGGCUAACUACGUGCCAGCAGCCGCGGUAAUAC